AUUGAACGCUGGCGGCAUGCCUUACACAUGCAAGUCGAGCGGCUGAGCGGAGCUUGCUCCUGCAUUCAGCGGCGGACGGGUGAGUAAUGCCUAGGAAUCUGCCUGGUAGUGGGGGAUAACGUCCGGAAACGCGCGCUAAUACCGCAUACGUCCUGAGGGUGAAAGUGGGGGAUCUUAAGACCUCGCGCUAUCGGAUCAGCCUAGGUCGGAUUAGCUAGUUGGUGGGGUAAAGGCUUACCAAGGCGACGAUCCGUAACUGGUCUGAGAGGAUGAACAGGCACAAUGGGACUGAGACACGGGCCAGACUCCUACGGGAGGCAGCAGGGGGGAAUUUUGGAAAAUGGGGGAAAGCCUGAUCCAGCCAUGCCGCGUGGGGGAAGAAGGCCUUCGGGUUGUAAAGCGCUUUAAGUCGGGAAGAAGUGCAGUAAGUUAAUACCUCGCUGGUUGGAGGUAACGAAAAGAAGAAGAACGGGCAAAUUUCGU
rnacentral:rRNA from 1 species